rnacentral:rRNA from 1 species
UGGGGAAUAUUGGGCAAUGGGCGAAAGCCUGACCCAGCAACGCCGCGUGAGGGAAGAAGGCCUUCGGGUUGUAAACCUCUGUCCUUGGUGACGAAAAGAAUGACGGUAGCCAAGGAGGAAGCCCCGGCUAACUACGUGCCAGCAGCCGCGGUAAUACGUAGGGGGCGAGCGUUGUCCGGAAUUACUGGGCGUAAAGGGUGCGUAGGCGGCCGAUUAAGUUGGAUGUGAAAUACCCGGGCUUAACCUGGGGGGUGCAUCCAAUACUGGUAGGCUAGAGUGCAGGAGAGGGAAGCGGAAUUCCUAGUGUAGCGGUGAAAUGCGUAGAUAUUAGGAGGAACACCAGCGGCGAAGGCGGCUUUCUGGACUGUAACUGACGCUGAUGCACGAAAGCGUGGGGAGCAAACAG